UACGGGAGGCAGCAGUGGGGAAUAUUGCACAAUGGGCGCAAGCCUGAUGCAGCCAUGCCGCGUGUAUGAAGAAGGCCUUCGGGUUGUAAAGUACUUUCAGUCGUGAGGAAGGUGUUAAGGUUAAUAACCUUAGCAAUUGACGUUAGCGACAGAAGAAGCACCGGCUAGCUCCGUGCCAGCAGCCGCGGUAAUACGGAGGGUGCGAGCGUUAAUCGGAAUUACUGGGCGUAAAGGGCACGCAGGCGGUUAAUUAAGUUGGAUGUGAAAUCCCCGGGCUUAACCUGGGAAUGGCAUUCAAGACUGGUUAGCUAGAGUCUUGUAGAGGGGGUAGAAUUCCAUGUGUAGCGGUGAAAUGCGUAGAGAUGUGGAGGAAUACCGGUGGCGAAGGCGGCCCCUGGACAAAGACUGACGCUCAUGUGCGAAAGCGUGGGGAGCAAACAGGAUUAGAUACC
rnacentral:rRNA from 1 species